GAUGAAGAACGCAGUGAAAUGCGAUAAGUAAUGUGAAUUGCAGAAUUCAGUGAAUCAUCGAAUCUUUGAACGCACAUUGCGCCCGUCAGUAUUCUGGCGGGCAUGCCUGUUCGAGCGUCAUUACGCCCCUCAAGUCCCCUGUGGACUUGGUGUUGGGGAUCGGCGAGGCUGGUUUUCCAGCACAGCCGUCCCUUAAAUUAAUUGGCGGUCUCGCCGUGGCCCUCCUCUGCGCAGUAGUAAAACACUCGCAACAGGAGCCCGGCGCGGUCCACUGCCGUAAAACCCCCCAACUUUUUAUAGUUGACCUCGAAUCAGGUAGGACUACCCGCUGAACUUAAGCAUAUCAAUAACGGAGGA
rnacentral:misc_RNA from 1 species